CCUACGGGAGGCUGCAGUGAGGAAUAUUGGUCAAUGGACGAGAGUCUGAACCAGCCAAGUAGCGUGAAGGAUGACUGCCCUAUGGGUUGUAAACUUCUUUUAUAUGGGAAUAAAAUGUUCCACGUGUGGGAUUUUGUAUGUACCAUAUGAAUAAGGAUCGGCUAACUCCGUGCCAGCAGCCGCGGUAAUACGGAGGUUCCGAGCGUUAUCCGGAUUUAUUGGGUUUAAAGGGAGCGUAGGUGGAUUGUUAAGUCAGUUGUGAAAGUUUGCGGCUCAACCGUAAAAUUGCAGUUGAAACUGACUGUCUGGAGUACAGUAGAGGUGGGCGGAAUGCGUGGUGUAGCGGUGAAAUGCUUAGAUAUCACGAAGAACUCCGAUUGCGAAGGCAGUUCACUGGACUGCAACUGACACUGAGGCUCGAAAGUGUGGGUAUCAAACAGGAUUAGAUACCCGAGUAGUC
rnacentral:rRNA from 1 species